GGGGGCGGUGCAUCAGAGCGCAGGUGGCGCUGCGAGUUAACGUACUUGUCCUCUCAGAGCUCAGGUCUGAUGAUAAACAAGGUCUUCCACGUCAUGGGGACUCCCCAGUGCAGUCUGCACACCUAAAUAUGCCUGCUCCGAGUAAGGAGACUUCCCUCUUUAAGGUGAUUCAGAGCCUGUUAAAGUCAACAGGAGACCUUCCAAUGACUUCAGUGAAAAUUAGAAUAAAAUACAGACAUUAAGGAACAGUUUUAAUUUCAUUCUAACGUAUUCAGUGAAUUGACCUUUCACGGUGCAGUGCUCGACGUGCCCCUCGCUGCCCCCCGUGCAAGGUGAGCUGCCGGGGAGCGCCGGGAAUGCUGAGCCACUCCAAGGAAGCAAUACAGGAAAGGUCAAAGUACAGCACAACAUGGUAAUUUGCAGCCUUGCUUAAUUAACACAGGCACUUUAUUUCAGAAGUAAAAAAUAAUGAUUUUUUUGAAGGGCAUUAUUAACCCAUUCUUUUUCCCCUGUGAUACUACGUGGUGAUUUUUCUACUGAAGCCUGGUUCUGUGGCUUUCGGGCACUGGUGGGGAGCCCCAGUGGCCUCAUCCC
rnacentral:lncRNA from 1 species